UACGUAGGGGGCAAGCGUUGUCCGGAAUUAUUGGGCGUAAAGCGCGCGCAGGCGGUUUCUUAAGUCUGGUGUGAAAGCCCGCAGCUCAACUGCGGAGGGCCACUGGAAACUGGGAAGCUUGAGUGUAGGAGAGGAGAGCGGAAUUCCACGUGUAGCGGUGAAAUGCGUAGAGAUGUGGAGGAACACCUGUGGCGAAAGCGGCUCUCUGGCCUAUAACUGACGCUGAGGCGCGAAAGCGUGGGGAGCAAACAGGAUUAGAAACCCCCGUAGUCC
rnacentral:rRNA from 1 species